rnacentral:rRNA from 1 species
CCUACGGGAGGCAGCAGUGGGGAAUUUUGGACAAUGGGGGCAACCCUGAUCCAGCAAUGCCGCGUGAGUGAAGAAGGCCUUCGGGUUGUAAAGCUCUUUUGUCAGGGAAGAAACGGCGGGGGCUAAUAUCCCUUGCUAAUGACGGUACCUGAAGAAUAAGCACCGGCUAACUACGUGCCAGCAGCCGCGGUAAUACGUAGGGUGCAAGCGUUAAUCGGAAUUACUGGGCGUAAAGCGUGCGCAGGCGGUUGUGCAAGACCGAUGUGAAAUCCCCGGGCUUAACCUGGGAAUGGCAUUGGUGACUGCACGGCUAGAGUGUGUCAGAGGGGGGUAGAAUUCCACGUGUAGCAGUGAAAUGCGUAGAGAUGUGGAGGAAUACCGAUGGCGAAGGCAGCCCCCUGGGAUAACACUGACGCUCAUGCACGAAAGCGUGGGGAGCAAACAGGAUUAGAUACCCUGGUAGUCCACGCCCUAAACGAUGUCAACUAGUUGUCGGGUCUUAAUUGAUUAGUACGACAGCUACGCGUGAGUAGUACCGCCGUGGGAGGUACGGUCGGUCGAGAAGUUAAACGUAACGAAAGGAAGUUAGACGGCGUUGAGACGNGCCGACGGACGACGACGAGGGAGGAGG